UGAAGGAGGAAAAAAUAAAAAAAACAAGGAUUGCCGAGCCUGAACUCGAACCCCCCUCGGUAUGGAACCAAACGCAAUCCGCUACAACAAACUGGAAAUGCCGGUUCCACAAUCAUCCCGUGAGGUAUCAAUGCUUCCGAAGCUCCCAGCACGCGAACUGAGACGCUUCAACUUCCACGUUUCUGAGUCCGGGCUCCACUUUUCUCUCCGGGGUCAAACUGUUCAGCAGCUGGAGGAAAAGCGAGGCCGCGCUCGAUAUGAGCAGCGGUGAGAGGACGACUAACAAACCGCCGCUACGACUACGGAACGAAAACAUCACAUCUUUGACAAACGAGGCCAUGACUGUGGGCCACAGUGAAGGAAGGAAGUGAGG